UACGUAGGGUGCGAGCGUUAAUCGGAAUUACUGGGCGUAAAGCGCGCGUAGGUGGCUUGAUAAGUUGGAUGUGAAAUCCCCGGGCUCAACCUGGGAACUGCAUCCAAAACUGUCUGGCUAGAGUGCGGUAGAGGGUAGUGGAAUUUCCAGUGUAGCGGUGAAAUGCGUAGAUAUUGGAAGGAACACCAGUGGCGAAGGCGACUACCUGGACUGACACUGACACUGAGGUGCGAAAGCGUGGGGAGCAAACAGG
rnacentral:rRNA from 1 species